rnacentral:rRNA from 1 species
AGCUGGAAUUGCUGUAAUGGCAGGUCAGCAUACUGCCGUGAAUACGUUCCCGGGCCCUUGUACACACCGCCCGUCACACCAUGAGAGUUGGAAAUACCCGAAGCCUGUGAGCUAACUUAAAGAGGCAGCAGUCGAAGGUAGAGCCAAUGAUUGGGGUGAAGUCGUAACAAGGUACC